CAGCAGCUGGGGGGCUCAGUGUGGCCUGCAGGUGGCACCUGUGCUGGGUUUGUGACAGGAAUGCUGCAGGUGGCACCUGUGCUGGGUUUGUGACAGGAAUGCUGCAGGUGGCACCUGUGCUGGGUUUGUGACAGGAAUGCUGCAGCUGCCACCUGUGCUGGGUUUGUGACAGCAACGCUGCAGGUGGCACCUGUGCUGGGUUUGUGACAGGAAUGCUGCAGGUGGCACAGGGCUGGAGCAGCUGCAGGUGGCAGUGCUGGAGCUCCAGGUGCCAUGAUGCUGGUGCAGUUUCAGGUGCAGUGGUGCUGCAGUUGCUGCAGAGCCCUGUGUGGCUCCAGGUGUCCCUGGCAGUUUUGGGUGGCUCUGGCUGUCCUCAGCAGCCCUGUGUGGCGGCUCUGGCUGUCCCUGGCAGUUUUGGCUGUCCCUGGCAGUUUUGGCUGUCCCUGGCAGU